AACGCUAGCGGCAGGCUUAACACAUGCAAGUCGAGGGGCGAACACGGGUAGCAAUACCUGGUGGCGACCGGCGCAAGGGUGCGUAACGCGUGAGCAACAUGCCCUAUACAGGGGGAUAAUCCAGGGAAACUUGGUCUAAUAUCCCAUAGUAUUUAGAGGAGGCAUCUUCUAUAAAUUAAAGCUUCGGUGGUAUAGGAUUGGCUCGCGUGACAUUAGCUAGAUGGUGAGGUAACGGCUCACCAUGGCAAUGAUGUCUAGGGGUUCUGAGAGGAAGGCCCCCCACACUGGGACUGAGACACGGCCCAGACUCCUACGGGAGGCAGCAGUGAGGAAUAUUGGACAAUGGAUGGAAAUCUGAUCCAGCCAUGCCGCGUGCAGGAAGACAGCCCUAUGGGUUGUAAACUGCUUUUAUAUGGGAGCAAUAAGGUCUACGUGUAGACUGAUGAGAGUACCAUAUGAAUAAGCAUCGGCUAACUCCGUG
rnacentral:rRNA from 1 species